rnacentral:rRNA from 1 species
CAUGGGCGAGCCUGACGCAGCCAUGCCGCGUGUAUGAUGAAGGUCUUAGGAUUGUAAAAUACUUUCACCGGUGAAGAUAAUGACUGUAGCCGGAGAAGAAGCCCCGGCUAACUUCGUGCCAGCAGCCGCGGUAAUACGAAGGGGGCUAGCGUUGCUCGGAAUUACUGGGCGUAAAGGGAGCGUAGGCGGACAUUUAAGUCAGGGGUGAAAUCCCGGAGCUCAACUCCGGAACUGCCCUUGAUACUGGAUGUCUUGAGUGUGAGAGAGGUAUGUGGAACUCCGAGUGUAGAGGUGAAAUUCGUAGAUAUUCGGAAGAACACCAGUGGCGAAGGCGACAUACUGGCUCAUUACUGACGCUGAGGCUCGAAAGCGUGGGGAGCAAACAGGAUUAGAUACCCUGGUAGUCCACGCCGUAAACGAUGAUUGCUAGUUGUCGGGGAGUUUACUUCUCGGUGACGCAGCUAACGCAUUAAGCAAUCCGCCUGGGGAGUACGGUCGCAAGAUUAAAACUCAAAUGAAAUUGACGGA